rnacentral:rRNA from 1 species
GGUGGUGCAUGGCCGUUCUUAGUUGGUGGAGUGAUUUGUCUGGUUAAUUCCGAUAACGAACGAGACCUUAACCUGCUAACUAGAUUCUUUUAUCUUAUAAAAGUUAUCUUCUUAGAGGGACUAUGUAAAACAAAUACAUGGAAGUUUGAGGCAAUAACAGGUCAGUGAUGCCCUUAUAUGUCCUGGGCUGCACGCGUGCUACACUGAUGCAUACAACAAGUGCCUAACCAGACAUGGCAUGGCAAUCUCGAAUAUGCAUCGUGAUAGGGAUAGAUCUUUGCAAUU